rnacentral:rRNA from 1 species
CAGUCGCCACGGGAAUACGGAGGGUGCAAGCGUUAAUCGGAAUUACUGGGCGUAAAGCGUGCGUAGGCGGCUUUUUAAGUCGGAUGUGAAAUCCCUGAGCUUAACUUAGGAAUUGCAUUCGAUACUGGGAAGCUAGAGUAUGGGAGAGGAUGGUAGAAUUCCAGGUGUAGCGGUGAAAUGCGUAGAGAUCUGGAGGAAUACCGAUGGCGAAGGCAGCCAUCUGGCCUAAUACUGACGCUGAGGUACGAAAGCAUGGGGAGCAAACAGGAUUAGAUACCCCCGUAGUCCCUGUCUCUUAUAC